AUACAUUUAAGAUCAACUUUGUGAGUAUAUUUUUCUUCAUUUAUCUUUAUUUGUAGUAAUUUUUUUGGAACAACUCUUCACCAUUCCUAGCCUAUUAUUUUCAGUCUUCCUUCUCCCUAUUAUUCACAUUAUCGUCUCAUCCAUAUUCUUCAUACUUAAGUACAUUAAUUCUCGCAGAUUAAAAUUUGGGAGGUGAAAGAAAAAACGGAAAGAAUGUUUAAGCUGAUUAACGCUGAUCAAGUACCAGGUUUCGUCAAAGAAGAUCGGUCCAGUGAGGAUUUCAGCAGAGAAAGCAUACCAGAAAAUAAACCUCGGAUAUUUAGAGCUGAGCCAGAUUCAACAACUUUGGAGAUAGAUUAUAUUAAACCUGAUGUUUUGAACGAGAUAAGAAUUCAAGCUUACAAACAAAAGGAAGACGGCGCGUACUCUGAACCUUGGAGGCUGAAGGUUUUCAAAGAGUUCGGACAUAACGCGGUCGGACAAAGACAUAUGGACGAGUGUAUACUAACUGUCACCACUCAAACUAGGGCAAUGGGUGGACCUUUACCUCACAUAUACAAUAGUCACUUAUAGUAGACAAAACAUCAAAUAUUUUAUCCGUCUAAAUGUGUUGUGAUCUUUUUCUUUAUAAGCAAAGCUAACAUUUUCAUUUUGGAUUACUUACAGUACUAAUUUUAUUUGUUUAUUAACGAUUUGUUAAAGAAGGUUUUAUUUAUGUAAAUGUGGUUUUAUAUGACUUUCGUCGUUUCUUCUCUUUAGCCUUAUGGAAAAUAUUAUGGAAAAUAUGGCAACGCAUGUAGUAUACCAUAAUAGGGCGAAAAAUAAAAUAUUAUUAUUUUGUGUUUUUGUUUAAAUUUAAUUGCUUAAGGAAUAAAUAAAAUAAUAGUUUGUAAAUUCAUUUUAUUUAUUAAAAUAUAAAUUACAUAAAAUGAG